rnacentral:rRNA from 1 species
AUACGUAGGGGCCUGACGUUGUUCGGAAUCAUUGGGCGUAAAGGGCGCGCAGGCGGCCGUCCAAGUCCGGUGUUAAAUGGUCGGGCUCAACCCGAUCAUGCGCUGGAAACUGGGCGGCUUGAGUCCCGUAGGGGAUGCCGGAAUUCCAGGUGUAGGGGUGAAAUCUGUAGAUAUCUGGAAGAACACCGAUGGCGAAGGCAGGCAUCUGGCCGGAGACUGACGCUGAGGCGCGAAGGCGCGGGGAGCGAACAGGUUUAGAUACCCUGGUAGUCCGCGCAGUAAACGAUGCGCACCAGGUGUCGGGCGGCAGCGCCCGGUACCGGAGCUAACGCGAUGAGUGCGCCGCCUGGGGAGUAUGCCCGCAAGGGUGAAACUCAAAUGAAUUGACGGGG